GCCGUUGACAGAAUGCAGGCGGGAAGCUUCAGUUUGGGUAGAGAUGUAGCAUCAAACAUUCACGGAUGUCCAGGGAGCACGGGCACACAGGCUGCUGGCCAGAGCAGACUAUUAUGAGCACAAUACACUAGUCAUGUCGGAGAUAACAGCCUGACCUCAGCGUGGCUGCAAAAUGAAGCCACUUUUGGCUUUCCUAAGCCAUCAGGAGGCUGCUCACAGCGCUGCUGGACUCUUUAAGCCCUG
ensembl:lincRNA Lockd lncRNA downstream of Cdkn1b